UAAUUUUAAAUAAUAAUGUUAAAAUUAUAACAAUGUUAUCUUAAUUUUAAUUAAAGAUAUAUUCUUACCAGUUAUAUUCUGCAAUGGAAUAUAGAUAUAGUUUGUUGAUGCUGUUCAAUGUUACCUAUUUUUCAUUUAGUACAACUCUUUUCCCUCGUUUUGAUUUUUAAAAUUUUUAAUUGCAAUUUAGCUCCAUUAAAAUUGGUUGAUUUACUUGGAGUGGAUAAAGGAAACCUUGG
rnacentral:lncRNA from 1 species